CUCAAAGUCUAUGAGAUCCAUCCCUGUCCCUGCUCUCCAGGAGAACAACAGACAGACAGACAAAAGGGGAGUCUUGUUUCAAUUUUAAAAAGUUCUAGCCUUCCCACUGG